AAAAAAUAAAAUCUUUCAAGGCUUUCACAUUCAACAACAUAACAAAUCUUUAAUGUACUACUACAUCGAAGCCUUAGAGAGUCGUUGGACUCCAGACAAGCCGUUAUGAAGCGUCAUCAGCUCAGGUGAGACGAUCCAAAAGGACCAGACAUAAACCACCUGCUAAGAAAAGGGUAAAUAAGACAAGCGAUUAAACUGGCAAGUCAGGGAUACAAGAUGGAUUUUUUCAGGGUGUGUAAACUUCCUUAUAUAUUCUGCCACAUGUGUCGGUGUGAAAGGAUUUUAUGGUCUCGAUCAUUCUUCAAUGAAAUAUUCCAAUUUCCACUAUAGAAACGACAAUCUAUUAUAAUA